GUUAUGGAGAUGGAUACCACAUCUCAUCAUGUAAUUUACUGUAUCUUAGCAACAGCUACUGGUACAUUAAUUCGUUGUUAGUAAAGGGAUAUAGACAUACAAAAAUUGCAUGGAGAAAGUUGCACAAAAACACAGUCCUCUAUCAUUGAAGCUAACAGAGAGCUCACUUAACUGAGGGUAACACAUUCCUUAUACUCACUAUGAGCCAGUCACUAAGAACAUUCAUGUGUGCAUAAUGCCAAUUUAUUACAAAUGUUAGAGUUGGGUUUAGAAUGCAGGUGUUCCUGGCUUCCAAUCCUGUACUCAGCUCUACACAAAAUGUCUCAACAGUCAUAGCAAUCUGUGAAAUGUAUUUACACAGAGAUCCACUCCUAUUUCAGGAGACAGAGGAGCAGGCAUAUGUAGAUUUCCAGAGCAGUGCAAAUGUAGUAGCACUGAUGAUGAUGCAUCUAAACAAGACAUAAUCCCCACAUGUCAACAGACAGUCUCAGUAUAAAAGCCAAUUGGAAGAAACACACACAGACUUUAUUUGAAACCAGAUAUCAAUAUUCUGUUUCUAAGGUCUAGUUAAUCACAAAGAAUUUUAAAAUAUAGGAAUCAGCUGUAGAAAAAAGGUCUCUUUAAGCUACUAAGUAAUGGAUAAUGUUACAUUUUUAAAAGAUCUUUCUACCUUUUCUGCACCUGCUGAAGUUGCUGUAAAUACACUACUUACGUAACAGUCCUUAUACUUAGUCUACAGCCAGCUGGUAUAGCUGGGUCUUUGAUUUUUCUGUUUUUUUUUAUAUUUUGGAGGAAUUUAUGAGUAGCUUGAUGCAUUUGACAUCUAUGAGACAUCUUCUUGUAUAUGAGAAGAGCAGUGUGUUAUACCACCCAGCUGUGUGUAUUUGUCUAUACAUCAAGCUGAGGAGCAGCACUUAGCCAGAUCUGACAAUCAAGUGUGAGCUAGUACUACCCACACUCAAGAGUGCAUUGUAACGUUGUGUGCCAAGAGCUUGGUAUUUGACAAAAAAAAUUGUCAGAUGUGUUUCUCCUCCUCGGUCUGCUAGCCUUGAGUUUUGAUUUUUGUUUAGUUUAAUAUACUUUUAUUGUACAAACAAGAAAAGAGUUUUAAGUGUGUUUUAAAAUCAGCAAAGGUAGCCUACUGUUUUCAGUGUAAUAAAUAAUGUUAACAUAAAAGUCAUACAGUGUUUUUUGUAACAUAAAAGAAUGACUGUUUGGGAAUAUGCAGUACACUAACAUGUCUGCCAACUUAAUCUAAAGUUACAUUCUGCUUGGUUUCACCAGUGACUCAUAGUCAGUUUAUAAAGUGUCCCCAAAGAAAACUAUAGACUGAGAGAUCAGAGUACAUUUCUAGUUUGUAAAUGUCAAUGCUGUUCUUGUCAGUCUAGUUAGGACAGUGAAUGUCAGUCAGUGAGUGAUGAUGAUGUUCGUCUGUGCUACCUGCUCUUGGUUCAGACUGACUGACUGACCAACCUGAUAGCCAUAAUACUUCACUGUUCCCCUCCACAAGUGAAGCAUAAACUUUAUUUGCCUUAUGCUAUAACCUGAGGACAAUAAUAGUGAAAAUUUAUAUUUGUCUUUUAUACCCUAGCAUUGCAUUUGUGUUCUUAAUAGUUUAUCUUGUUUUGUCUCUGUUUUUGUUAUAAGAUCAGAGAUUGGUCUAUGUAAUAUUUUCAUUUUUCUCGGAUGCAAACACCAGGAUGGGGAGGAUCAGUUUAGGAUAGCACAUGGGACACAUUAACCAGGAGCAAUGGGAUGCUAUUAUAAAAAGGGAAAUUUAGUGACUAUCAAGUAAAUCUUCUUGACAAAGAAACCUUGUAGCCUGUGAAAUAUUCUAAGCAUGAAAUAGUAAAAGCCAGAUUAAGAACUGUAGGUGUGUAGGGAAUAAUCUUGCAGUGGCAGAGGUGAAUUAGAAAGUGUAACUACUAAUUUUGAUUUUUUUUAAAUUUGAUUUGAGCUUGUUGAUUUGUUUCAGUUUUAACAUUGUUAUAAAAUAUAUUACAUUUCUGAUUUCAUACACGUGCUUUUUUCUUGUACCACAUGAACAUUUUUAAUAUGCAAAAAAACUCGAAUAUUUCUCAUAGUUGUGUUUUCUAUGGUGGAAAAUAUUUAAAGAAGAAAUAUAUUAGGGAUUUGAAGCCCCUUGUAUUCAAGUAUUCAAAUGCUUCGGCUAACUUUUAGUCUCUUGUGGCAUCUCUAACUGCUGUGAAUAUCAUUAUCAUUUUUAUUAAUUAUUUGUUAAUGCCCAGUGAUAUGCUCAGAACUGCACAAGCGACAGUCAUUGAAAGGUAAAAGAGAGACACAGAUGAGAUGCACUAGGAGAGGCAAAGGCUAUAUUGACCAGGAAUGUUGAGCAGAAUCUUAUACUUUCUCAAUAUUCUCCUCUUAUAUCAGGUUCAGGCAGAGAUGGAAUUUGACUGAUGUGGCAGAAUGUGCAUGGGUCUGUCAUGGUGUAAAAAUUAUUGCUUCAAAAACUCUAUGGCUAGUGCCAAACUCUCUCUCUUUCAUGGUCUAUGGUAUUAACUCUAUAAUAAACACACACAGUGUCAGCUAUCUAUUUUAUUAAGACACACAUGAAGGAAAAUCAUGGGUUACAGACCUGCUUUUCUUUUUUGUUUUCUUAAAAGAUAGGACUAGUAAGUGGAUUACAACCAAAACAUUCUCAUUUUACUUAGAAAGCUGUUAGUUCUGUCAAAUUAAUUGUCCCAGCCACUCAGAAAAAAACAAGGAUAAAAGAAAAAACAUGAGCUGGAAAAGGAGGGGAGGCUCUUCUUUUUACAGUCAGGUUGUGGAUGACUGUUAGCUUCAGAUCGGAGUUGUUGUUAUUUCCUUGGGCAGGUAUAUUUCCUGGUCCACACUGAAGUCAGGUUGGAAGAUUGGAUUGGAGACAAG